CUUCCUUUCCCACUAACAACCCUAAAAAACGACCUGAAGUAAUCUAUUCUCUCUCCCGCAGCAAAUCUCUCAAGCUCUCAUGUCUCUCUUCAUGUUCUGAUGGGAAAGAGAUCCAUGUCUUUCUCAUAUUGGAGGAAGGAAGUUGGAGAUGGACCCCUCUCUCAAUUUCACAUCUCUCUCCUCAAACUCUCUUCUCUCUCUACCUCUCCACAUGGAAAUAGAUCCGUGCCUCUCCCAAAUUGCAAGAAGGAAGUGGGGCAUGGAUCUGCUGCACUGUCGGAGCUAAUCACAUUUUCUUUAUCCAGAUCAGGUUUGACUUCUCACACUUAUUUGUUUUUAGUUUGCUUUUGCCAAUUUCUCCACGUGGAAAUAGAUCCGUGCCUCUCCCAAAUUGCAAGAAUCAAGCGGGGCAUGGAUCUGCUGCGCUGACGGAGCUAAUCACAUUAAAAUAUAUAUUUUCAUCCAGAUCAGGUUUGUCUUCUCACACUGAUUUAUUUUUUGUUUGAUUUUGUCAAUUUGGAUUCAAAUUUUUUCAUCGCCCCCUUUGAUCGUGCUAUUAGCGAUUCAGUUUUCUUUUACUGUGCGUUUGCUUGAAGCAGACCUCGAUGUCAAGAGAAAAUCAGUAUUCUAUAUCUCUCCAAAAACAAGAUAUAGAUCUUCAUGUAGCGUACAGGACAAAAACCUGUACCGUAUAUGUAGAAAAAGAGACUAUCCAAUGUCAAUACUUCCUCUACGGGUGGAACUCUAUUUCCUGUUCCUGUACGGGUGGAACUCUAUUCUCUGCUAUGAUUCAGCUUCCCAUCAUCGUUCUCUCAAUCCAUCAACCAAUAGAGGCAGGGUGUGAGGGAUAUGGAGGACAAAGCUAUACUGUUCAGUUACAUGUGAUGGAUGACGGCUAUUUUGAGCCCCGGAGGGAAGGUAAUCUUCAAGAACAAUGAUCUUGCUAGACAUCGACCAACUUGACCAAGACCUCGCCACGGUUGAUGACUUCAACAAGGAUGAUUUUCAUCAUGGGGUAAGGUAAACUAAAGGUUUUACGGCUAAGCUAAAUCUCCAUCCAAUUGCUGCCAUUAAUCGUGAAUGGACCUACAGUCUGAAAGUUCAAGGAUGACAUGUUUCUAGGGUCAGCAAUAAUUGAAAAAGGUUAGUGGUAACAAAGGCACUGCAGCAUAAUUUUAUCAUCCACCAAUGGAAGACAAUCUGACAUGGAAGCUCUGAAGAGUAUCAAUAUGUAGCCAUUUAAUUCCUAUAACAUAACAUAGGGACACGGCAAACAAAUGACAUAGAUGGAAGGACAAGUUACGACCGUUUUACCGUUUACCCGAUUGGGCAAAAGUAUGCUCCGGUAGGGCUACCCAGAUGGCACCAUGUGUCAUGUUUGCCGAGAACAAUAUAAGGCAAACGGGUCUUAGACACGACACAGCUAGGCUAAAGAAGAUGUUUCUGUAGCGUUCGAGGAUGAGAACAUGAUGUAUAUGGUGCUGAAGGAACCAUAGGAAUAGGCAUUUCGAUGAAAGACAUGGAGAAGAUGAUGUCCAGUGAAGGAAAAUGCAGGGAAAUAAAGCAUGAGUAGUUUAGAGUGGUCAAUAUGAAUGCAGAUUUAGUUUCAGGAAGAAGUGGAUUCUGAAUAUAACAAGAGGUCAAUGAUGCAAGAACUAGGAUAAGGCGUAACAUGGUUGCUCCAAGAUAUAUUUGGACAAUGUCGACCAAAUUACGUAAGGUAGCAACCCAAUGAAUUGUACAAAUAAGUUUUACGGUCUUUAAAACAUGUUUUGAUUUUUCCGAUCAUUAAGCAUUACCAUCGUCGUAUGCAAGAUGAGCCAAAUUAAAACUUAUGGCCUUAAUUCCGCAUUAACAUCAUGGUAUGCAAGAUGAGCCAAAUUAAAAAUUAUGGCCUUAAUGCUCGGCAAGCCUCAUGGUUCAUAAGGUGAGUCAUCUUAAUAUAUUCUGUUUUUAACAAAUAUAGGCACUGUUUCCAAGACCCUUAAUAGUAUCUUUCAAAUACCCAUUCUUGAAUAUUGAUGAGACAUUAUAUACAAGAAAAUGUUUUUCUAGAGAUGAUUUUAUUUAAGAUAUUGUAGAGAUGAUUUAAAUAUGUUGUUUAACCCUUAUUUGGAGAAUGCCAUAACUUGGAACUCCUUUUUAGAGCAUGUACUCAAUUAUGUAUAGGUUCACCUUUCUAAAAGUUCUUGAAAGAAAAGCCACUUCAAUUCCCUGAAUUGUUUACCAUUUCAAUUCUUAAAUCGGUCGUCUUAUGUUUCCAUAAAUGUUUUGUGGUUUGUAGGAUAAUACAUGGGAGUAUCCGAUGGCCCUUAUGUCUCUAUACAUUUCGAGUGGUACCCUCAAUAAAUAUCUGGUACCAUCUCCCAUCCACUUUUUCCCACCAUGUAAGACUGAACACUAUGUCCUUGCUACUUAUGUUCCAUUUAUGGUUAACCAUGCUCUUUUUAGAUUAUGAAAAUAUAAAAGGUCACCAGCUACAGUUUGGAAUAAUUAUUGUGUACUACUCAUAAUAAAUAUAAGAAAAAAAUUGUACGAAAAAAUAUAUCUAGAUUGUCGCAAGAGUUAACAAACAAGACAUAAGCUAUAUGUAACCACACAUAACUGCAACCUACAAAAUGUUAAUUUUCACAAUUUAGAAAUUCAAGCAUGUAAUAUUUCAAUAUAUGAAAUUUAAAUACAUAAUUGCAAUUUACUGUUUGCAUUAUGGAAAUAAACCAUUGAUAAAAUUA